UACGUAGGGGGCAAGCGUUGUCCGGAAUCAUUGGGCGUAAAGAGCGUGUAGGCGGCUCGAUAAGUCUGCUGUGAAAGUCCAGGGCUCAACCCUGGAAGGCCGGUGGAAACUGUCGGGCUAGAGUCCGGAAGAGGCGAGUGGAAUUCCCGGUGUAGCGGUGAAAUGCGCAGAUAUCGGGAGGAACACCAGUGGCGAAGGCGGCUCACUGGUCCGGUACUGACGCUGAGGAGCGAAAGCGUGGGGAGCGAACGGG
rnacentral:rRNA from 1 species